GCGCGAAAACUUUACAAUGCUGGCAACAGCGAUAAGGGAACCUCGAGUGCCAGGUUACAAAUCUGGCUGUCGAGAUGCCUAAAAAGCAUUUCAUAGCAAGGGCCGGGCAAGACCGGUGCCAGCCGCCGCGGUAACACCGGCGGCUCGAGUGGUAACCGUUAUUAUUGGGUCUAAAGGGUCUGUAGCCGGCCGGAUAAGUCUCUUGAGAAAUCUGGCAGCUUAACUGUCAGGCUUUCAGGAGAUACUGUCUGGCUCGAGGCCGGGAGAGGUGAGAGGUACUUCAGGGGUAGGGUGAAAGUCUUGUAAUCCUUGAAGGACCACCAGUGGCGAAGGCGUCUCACCAGAACGGACCUGACGGCAAGGGACGAAAGCAGGGGCACGAACCGGAUUAGAGACCCGAGU
rnacentral:rRNA from 1 species